ensembl:lncRNA
UGUGUGUGUGUGUGUGUGUGUGUGUGUGUGUGAGUCUGUGUGUUUGUGUGUAUAUGAGUGUACAGACGGUAUGGAAGGGAACUGUGGGGGGCGGGGGGGUUAUGAGUUCAUUGAAGGAUCAUUGGGUGCAAGUAGGCAUGUGUGCGUCUAUGUCUGUGUGUGUGUGUGUCUGUGUCUAUGUCUGUGUGUGUGUGUGUCUGUGUGUCUGUGUGUCUGUGUGUCUGUGUGUCUGUGUGUCUGUGCGCUUGGGUUUGAGAGUGAGAAAUAAAUAAAAACUGGAACUCCUCAUCUGGCACCGUGACAGCGGCUAAGUGAGAUGUGAAGGAUAGAUUUGGACAAUUCAUUUAGUAACAUUUGUCAUAGUGCAGCAGCUAUUGAGUUUAAUUUCACUAGGGUUGGUUUCAUUCCAUUAUCCACACAUUCCCCCUUUGGUUGGUUCAGUGUUUGUUGCGUGUCUACUGCUUUGGGAGUAUUGUAACACAGUCAUGCCCAUACACUCCAUCAGAACAGAAGAGAGGGAAGUGUAGAGGGAGAGAAUGAGAGAGAGAAAGAGAGAGUGUGAGAGAGUGAGAAUGAGAGAGAGAAUGCGGAUAGACACCCCUGCAGAGUGUGUUUGUUUCUAUAUUUCUGUUUCAUUGUGCGCUAAAGAGCCCCUCCGGCGUUGUUACCAUGUAUAUGUGUGUCAGAGAUUUGCUCAAGCGUAUGUGUGUGUUGUGUGUGUGUGUGUGUGCCUGUGUGUCAUGGACCCCUCUCGGCUAGACUGGCUCUAUCUUGUUGAGCGCUGAUAGAACAGCUUGUCCUGCUGAUGGAGUUAUGUAACCUGACAAUGUCGAUAAAAUCAACACUAAACUGGACUACAUUCCCCAUAAUUCAAUUUUUUUUUUCUGUACAUACCUUUGCUUAAUGAAAAUGCUGCAAAGUCAGCCUCUUAAUGGUGACUAUACCUGCCUUAGACCUGCAGGAAGAAUAGUCACAAAACAGUUGUGUUCUUUGGCAAUAUGUUCUUCUUAACUUUUCAUUCAUGACAAAAAAAAUUGUAGCCAUUAAUCAGUAGCCAAUGCAUCUUAGAUUCGUGGACAAGAAAAUUGAUAUUCAUAUCUCAGGGUUAAACUUGUUUAGAAAGACUGACAAAAAAAAAAAAAAAUUACAUUUGUCAUGUUCACUCUGACCAUGAAUGCUUUUGAGACAGUCAGUGACGAGAGUAAGCAUUCAUAUUUGUCCAUUUAUGGGAACAGCUGACCGUGAGAGAACCAACACCUUGACUUUAUAGCACCGUGGAACAGAGCUAUUGAAGGCUAUUAAUAGCUGUGUGUUCUUUCACCAACAGAGAUUACUUAUAGCCGUGACAGGACACUGAUACAGUUCAAGACUUUUAGACUGAGAUUAUUGUUUGAUACUGAUGUGGAUUAAAGUUGGUUGGCUAUAAAUUCUGCAGGAAUAUAGAACUACAUCAAGAGGGUUGGAUAUCACUCUUCCGGGCAUUCCGGGUAUCUACUGGGCAUAAUUUAUAUAUUCAACCCUUCGAGAUGGCUAGGAAAUGAUGUUAUGUCACCUAGCGUCUCCACGUACUGGAAACCAUUUAAAAAAGUAGCUAGCUGCGUAGUUUUUCCAGAAUAAUGGUCUGCAGUCAGGCCGAUUUUUAAUGAGUCAUUUUGCUGAAGGCGAGACGUCAGCUGUUUUUAAUCUGCAUUUUCACUCGCAUCUUUUUUUUCUUUCUUGCCGCUGGCACAAGAUUACCUGCUUUCGCCUUCCCCGACCAAAGGAUAGGAGUCAAUGGGAAGAGAGAGAGCAGCCACUGAGCAGAUCUGUAGUUGGUAUUCAGUCAUGUGAUGCCGUCCAGCUCAAUCCGAUUGGUGUAGAUGUAUGUCUCACAGAAGCAGUGCACGCCCACCAGCGUCUGUUUUAGUCACACAGGUUCAUUGAGUGCAGCUGUAGGUUCGUUUUAAUACCAAAUGCUUACCAAAUGCCCUUUUGCCAUGGAAAAUAGUCAUAUUUAUUUAUUUAUUUAUAUAUCUGUUAGUGUGAUUGUGUGUGUGUGUGAUUGUGUGUGUGUGUGCGUGCGUGUGUGUGUGCGUGUGUGUGCGUGUGUGCGCGUGUGUGUGUGUGUGUGUGUGUGUACGUGUUUGUUAAUGUACCAAGCACUCACAUAAUUAGGCAGCACUUCUCCAAGCCUCUCUCUGGUAAUGAGAUAAAUCUACAGAUUGUGUUCCACUGCAAGGCUGUGUUCUUGUUCCAGUGUGAGUGUUGAAGUCUGUUUCACCCACACCUUUGGAACUGUGGGAUAUGGAGUCCUGAUAGACUCAGGGUCUGGAGUUGAACUUGCCUCUGCAGCAGAAGAAAUGGCGAGACUCAAGUGAAUAAAACUCCAACAUUUGUUUGCGUUUAGAUUUUUUUUCUGGUGCUCAUGGCAACCAAUGAGAACAAGUGCCAAAAAUGUAAAAAAAAAAGAGGAAGAAAAAAUUGUCUAGACAAACAAAGACAAAACCAUCUUACGGUGUUAAGGUGCACUUUAACUCCUGAGACUGAUGGACAUACUGCUCGAGCCAAUCAUGGGAGAGACUGGACCGUGACCGCCCCCAUCGAGGAGCCAGUGAGAUUGGUCGAGCCCGGUGGAAUCUGGACGCAGGAAGAACUGAACUGGAUUCAGUCUAAAGAUGAGCAGAUGAAGCACAACUGUGGCCCUUGAAUAUAAUGUAGUGUAUGGAUGUCCUUGCAGAAGUGCCUAUUUUGAUGUCUGCAGCCUCAUCUUUAGCUUUACCGUCAGCAUAGCCUCAAAGUAGAACAUGGUAGUGACUAAUGUGGUGGUCUGUUUUCUCUUUGUGUGUGUGUGUGUGUGUGUGUGUGUGUGUGUGUGUGUGUGUGUGUGUGUGUGUGUGUGGAAAUGUUUAUUUUUUUAAUAGAAAUAUCACCUCAGACAGAAAUCAACCAAGAGGGAAUUGCAGUCCAUUCUAUAGUGUGUAUUGUAAAUAAUAUGUGAUGAUGGUGAUGAUGAGUGAAAGAAUAGAAACCAGCUGGCCUUACUUCACAUCUGAGCUGUACUAGAGGGACUAGCUUGUGGUUCUGUCUCACGCCCAGUACACACACGCACACACACACACACAAGGUGAAAGUAGUGGGUCAAUUAUCAUUAAGAGUUAUUUGGUUUCAGGGCCGUGUUCUUGAGUUUUAGGUGUCCACCACCCAAACUUGUUAUUUGUCAAGCUGCAAGAGUACUUAACCUGAAAUGACUCAGGUUCUGCUAUCUUUUCUUUUCUUUUCUUUCUUUCUUCCUUUAUUUCUGUGCAUCACCCUUGCAGUUACACUAAAGUGCCUUCUAUCUUUGUCUUUUGCCGUUUCAUUGUCGUCAUUUCUUUCUUUCUAUCGUUCUAUCUCUCCCCCUGCUGCUGCUGCUGCUGCUGCUUCCUCUUUUCUUUGCGUGUUCUGUAAGGUCUACUGAUGCGUGAGUGAGUGUUGGCCCCUCGUACUUCUGCAGUCUAUUUCUGUCCUCAUUCGGUGGUACACCUCUCUCCGGUACUUUCCUCCUUGCACGCAACUGGGGCU